CAGCAAGUAUAGAAAGAACGAGGCAUGACUCGAAACGGAACGAAAUUCUUAUCUUGCUCGAACGCCUUUCUUUAUUCUCGAAACAAACUACUGUGCGUUUCAAUGACUCACUGUACGCGAUCGCGACACGACAACACGGUUUAUGAAAUGCUCGGGGACAAAGUCGAAAGUCUAUGGAAGAGAGGAGAAGGAAACGGAAAAAAAAAAGAAUCUUUGAGACGAUUUACCGAUAUCGCCGCGAAUCUCGUUGGCUGUUACCCAAAAGUACAGAGACGAGAUACCGGAGGAAAUUCAAGCAAGUAUUUUUAGGAUGUUGAACGCAACCGCGCGCGAUGGAUCUUCGCGCUACAGACUCGAUAAGAAAAUUUUUCUUUAAAUAGCGCUCCGUUAUUUCCGUUCGACGUAAGAAUGAAAAGGACGCGUUGCUUUCGGUCGCGACGCGAACGUCUUAAUUAGAAUCGGUGUAGAUCCGAAGUAGUCCAGUUAAUAAAAAUAAUCUUUUUAACGUUAUCCGUAUAAAAAGUAUAGGAAAUUAUUACUAUUACUCUUCUGAUGAGCGAGUAAGGACACGAGGUCUCGUGAAACUUAAUGACCGAUAUGUGUGCAAGUGUGGUAAGUUAAAACCGCGGUUCAGAUUUAUCGAUCAGAAUUUCAGUUUCGCGUGACACGUAAGUAACUGGAACAACCUUUUGUCGAUAUACAUAGAACCGCAUAGAUUUCGUGCGAGGAUUUCAUGGAAAUUUCUUCGACCGAAAUUGUUCGCGAUUCGCGAUAGAAAUUUCUCGUAAAGUCGAAAGACGAUUUUAGCCUACGGAAAACGCUAGAGGGAGACAUUCUGGAUCGACUAGCGUAAGGAGCUGACAUUUAUUAACGUAAUAAAAAAAUGGAAAGGUGGUUACAUGAAAAUUUAUCUAAAAUUUUAGAUUUCCCGGUAUCGGAUGAUAUUACAAAAUAUAUAAUGCAAAUACAAAAUGAAAGAGAUCUCGAUGAUUAUUUCAAAAGUUUCUUAGAUAAUAACAAUCCAAAACACAGGCAAUUUAUUAUAGACGUGAAAAAACGACAAGCGUCGAGUAAAGGCCAGACCGGUUAUAAAAAAGUAAACGAUACAGAUGAUACAAGGAAAAAGCAAAAUGAAAAGAAGAAAGGGAAAUUAAAAACUAAAGAGAAACAAGAAAAUAAACAGAUGCAAGAAGUUGUUAAGGCAGAGAAAGUAGAGAAACAGAAACCCAAGUUUAUUAAUCUAUACACCCAAGAAGGCAAAGAUAGAGUAAUUCAGUUAAAAGGGAGACAUAAAUGUGAUUGCGAGGCAAGAAGGCACGCGUUGAUCAAUAAUUGUUACAACUGCGGUAGAAUAGUUUGUACUCAAGAAGGAGCUGGUCCGUGUUUUUUUUGCGGAGAACUUGUGUGUUCUCCGAAAGACCAAACCAUCCUUUCUGCCAAUAAUAAACAGGCCGAUAACUUAUACAAUAAAUUAAUCAAUCAAAAACCUAGCAAGAGUUUAGAAGAAUCUAUAAAACAGAGGGACAAACUUAUUGAAUAUGAUCAAAGCGGGAUACAAUGUACAAAAGUAAUCGACGACGAAUGUGAUUAUUAUCAGUCGAACAACAUAUGGUUAGAUGUUAAGAAACGUGAGAGGUUACAAAAGUUGGAAGAAGAAAUGAAUGCGAUAAAGCAUAUGUCGCGUUUAAAUAAAAGGACAAACAUGACAUUUGAUUUCAUGGCUAGAAAAGUGGUCGAAGAAAUUCCAGAUGAUGAUUAUGAUGAAUACGAUGAACAAAUUCAAGCUAUUUCUGAAUCGAUCAAUGAUGUUCAAAAUUCUACUGUCUGCCCGGACAUAGAAUUUGAUCGUCCAAUGUACAUUGAAUUAAACGAAUCUGAACCACGAACACAAAAAAGAAACGUCCCUUCUAAGAUCAGAAAUAUUGUACAGGAUAAAGAGUAUCUAGAAAUGACAGAUUCUGGAUUGUGUUUGAGUAUGCAUCAGCCUUACGCGUCCUUAUUAGUAGCUGGGAUAAAAAUUCAUGAAGGUCGAAUAUGGUAUACAUCGCACAGAGGAAGAUUAUGGAUUGCUUCAACAUCUAAAUCACCAACAAUGGAGGAUAUUUCAAACAUGGAACAUUAUUAUCGUGUAUUAAAAGAUGAAAAAAUCAUAUUUCCCGAAAGCUAUCCAACCAGCAGUUUACUAGGCUGUGUAAACGUUGUUGAUGUUCUGCCUCAAGAAGAAUACCGAAAAUGUUAUCCUGAAGGAGAAAGCGAUAGUCCUUAUGUUUUUAUAUGCGAAAAUCCUUGUACAUUGCCAAUUAAAUUUCCAAUACAAGGAAAGAAUAAAAUUUAUAAAUUGGAUGAAAAAAUUCAUCAUGCUGCUCUUAAGUUGUUAGAAAAAUGUACGAAAGAUUAUUUUACGUGCGUUCGAUGAAAAAAUAUUAGCAGCUUUCUUUUAUUUCGUUUAAAAUACCAGACUGUAUUAAUAGUAAAAGUAGAUUUUGAUAAAGUUGUUCUUUUUUUUUUCUUCUUUUUUACAUAAACAUAGCCUGUAUAUUUGAAGUACAAAGAGAACAUUUUUUAAGCGAAAUAUAUCGUUAUAAAGUUUAUUAUUCUUAAUAAUUUUGAGAAUAACAAUAAUGUUCUACAAAAUCAAAAUAAUGAGUAAAUUGAUAAAUUAAUGUUGAAAAAUUUCAAAUAUACACCUAUCUCUUUUUAACACUUAAAAGAAGUAAAGGUAUAAAAAUGAAAUUUUUUACUUACAAAUUAAUUCAGAACUACCCAUUACAUGCAAUAAAAGGAUACUCGGUUAUCGUAAAUACAUCGGUAAUGUAAACAUCGUAAUACAUUAUUUAAAUAUUUAAGAUAGAAACCAGUUUUUGAAAAUAAUAAGUGUACAGAUAUUAAUCGAUGUAUCAGGAAUGUACAAAUAAAUACCAAACUAUUUUCUAUGGGUUUCAGUGUACAAUUAACGAUCACCUGUUGCAAUAUUAAAAUCGAAUAUUGAAGACGCAUUAACAGGACACAAAUACGAUAGACUCGGAUCAUAUUUUUAUUAAUCAAGAUAUCGUGCAAUCUCUCUAGUAUCGAGUAAUUUACAUUUGCUUCCUAAAUGAAUCUAUAAAAUGGUAAAACAACAACGUACAAUUUCCAAUAAUUGCUCGGCAGUUAAAACAAUUGAUUUUGUUAUGUCAACAUUAAUAAAAAUUAACAAAUAGAAAACAAUAAUUUACAAUUUGACAAAAAUAAAAUAAAAUCUUAUAACUUUGCAGUAUACCUUUGCAAUACACACUAUAACAAUACCAAUUUAUAUCUCUUUUCUUCUAAACAACAUUCCAAUACAUAUAACAUACAAUUAUUUUUCUGCUUUCUUUUUCCGUUUUAUUUUUGUUAUGGACAUCAGUAUAUAUGUUGUAUAAUAAAUAAUUUUCAUAUUAUUCGUGGUAUUACAAACUAUUUAGGCUAUCAAAUAUCGAUGAUGAGUUUUUAGUUGCCUAACUUUUACAUAAACACAUGCAGAUACUUUUGUUAAACGUUCAGCGAAAAUAAACAAUUUCGUAAUAAUUUAAUCGAGUAAU
rnacentral:misc_RNA from 1 species